rnacentral:rRNA from 1 species
GAUGAACGCUAGCGGCAGGCUUAAUACAUGCAAGUCGAGGGGCAGCAUAAGUAGCAAUACUUGAUGGCGACCGGCAAACGGGUGCGGAACACGUACGCAACCUUCCUUUAAGUGGGGAAUAGCCCGGGGAAACCCGGAUUAAUACCCCGUAAUAUUAUGAUGUGGCAUCACAUUAUAAUUAUAGAUUCAUCGCUUAAAGAUGGGCGUGCGCCUGAUUAGGUAGUUGGCGGAGUAAUAGCCCACCAAGCCUGCGAUCAGUAACUGGUGUGAGAGCACGACCAGUCACACGGGCACUGAGACACGGGGCCCGACUCCGUACGGGAGGCAGCAGUAAGGAAUAUUGGUCAAUGGACGCAAGUCUGAACCAGCCAUGCCGCGUGGAGGAUGAAGGUCCUCUGGAUUGUAAACUUCUUUUAUUUGGGAANAAUGUGAUGAUUUCUUUAUCACUUUGACGGUACCAGAUGAAUAAGCACCGGCUAACUCCGUGCCAGC